rnacentral:rRNA from 1 species
CACGAAACUAGGUGCUGCAUGGUUGUCGUCAGCUCGUGCCGUGAGGUGUCGGGUUAAGUCCCAUAACGAGCGCAACCCCUGCUGCCAGUUACCAGCGAUUAAAGUCGGGAACUCUGGCGGGACUGCCGGUGUAAGCCGAGAGGAAGGUGGGGAUGACGUCAAAUCAGCACGGCCCUUACGUCCGGGGCGACACACGUGUUACAAUGGUAGGUACAGAGGGCAGCUACUCAGCGAUGAGGUGCAAAUCUCGAAAGCCUAUCUCAGUUCGGAUUGGAGGCUGAAACUCGCCUCUAUGAAGUUGGAUUCGCUAGUAAUCGCGCAUCAGCCAUGGCGCGGUGAAUACGUUCCCGGGCCUUGUACACACCGCCCGUCAAGCCAUGGGAGUCGGGGGUGCCUGAAGUUCGUGACCGCAAGGAGCGACCUAGGGCAAAACUGAUGACUGGGGCU